rnacentral:rRNA from 1 species
GAAAUCCCAGAGCUACUCUGGAACUGCCAUCAAAACUUUUCAGCUAGAGUAUGAUAGAGGAAAGCAGAAUUUCUAGUGUAGAGGUGAAAUUCGUAGAUAUUAGAAAGAAUACCAACUGCGAAGGCAGCUUUCUGGAUCAUUACUGACACUGAGGAACGAAAGCAUGGGUAGCGAAGAGGAUUAGAUACCCUCGUAGUCCAUGCCGUAAACGAUGUGUGUUAGACGUUGGAAAUUUAUUUUCAGUGUCGCAGGGAAACCGAUAAACACACCGCCUGGGGAGUACGACCGCAAGGUUAAAACUCAAAUGAAUUGACGGGGACCCGCACAAGUAGUGGAGCAUGUGGUUUAAUUCGAAGAUACGCGCAGAACCUUACCAACACUUGACAUGUUCGUCGCGACUUUAAGAGAUUAAAGUUUUCGGUUCGGCCGGACGAAACACAGGUGCUGCAUGGCUGUCGUCAGCUCGUGUCGUGAGAUGUUGGGUUAAGUCCCGCAACGAGCGCAACCCUCACUUUUAGUUGCCAUCAUUAAGUUGGGCACUCUGAAAGAACUGCCAGUGAUAAGCUGGAGGAAGGUGGGGAUGACGUCAAGUCCUCAUGGCCCUUACGUGUUGGGCUACACACGUGCUACAAUGGUAUCUACAACAGGAAGCAAAACUGCGAAGUUAAGCAAAUCCCUAAAAGAUACCUCAGUUCGGAUUGCACUCUGCAACUCGAGUGCAUGAAGCUGGAAUUACUAGUAAUCGUGGAUCAGCGUGCCACGGUGAAUGCGUUCCCGGGUCUUGUACACACCGCCCGUCACACCAUGGGAGUUGGUUCUACCUUAAGGCAAGGUUUUAAACCCUUGACCACGGUAUAGUCAGCGACUGGGGUGAAGUCGUAACAAGGUAGCCGUAGGGGAACCUGCGGCUG